rnacentral:rRNA from 1 species
GACGACCGCUGGCGGGCGUGCUUAAUACAUGCAAGUAGACCGCUGAAGAAGAGGAGCUUGCUCUUCUUGAUGAGUUGCGAACGGGUGAGUAACGCGUAGGUAACCUGCCUGGUAGCGGGGGAUAACUAUUGGAAACGAUAGCUAAUACCGCAUGAAAUGGAUUAUCGCAUGAUAAUUCACUGAAAGGUGCAAAUGCAUCACUACCAGAUGGACCUGCGUUGUAUUAGCUAGUUGGUGGGGUAACGGCUCACCAAGGCGACGAUACAUAGCCGACCUGAGAGGGUGAUCGGCCACACUGGGACUGAGACACGGCCCAGACUCCUACGGGAGGCAGCAGUAGGGAAUCUUCGGCAAUGGACGGAAGUCUGACCGAGCAACGCCGCGUGAGUGAAGAAGGUUUUCGGAUCGUAAAGCUCUGUUGUAAGAGAAGAACGAGUGUGAGAGUGGAAAGUUCACACUGUGACGGUAUCUUACCAGAAAGGACGGCUA